UUUUUAACAUAAACAGGUUGACAAGUUGAAAGUUUUUUUAGAAUUGCUUUUCAGCUCCUCUUCUAAAGUUGAGAAGCGCAUCUCAAAUAAUAGGUAUUAAAUUGGAUAUAAAAAAGAUUAUGCAAGUCAACCCCCUUUCGUUAAUUUUAGUCCAAGAAUAAGAUGCUUAUAAUGAUUUGAUCUUUAUUUUUAUCUACUUGCAUUCACUUUUUUAAGAACUUUCAAUCACCUAUAUUCAUUCACUUUCUUUGGAAGGCAUUUGCCAUUUUGAAGUUUUAUGUGACUUCGACCUUCAAUGCAUGCUCAUUGGCAGUGUUACUUAUUGAGAAUGGUAAUACUUAUUAUGCAUUUUAUUUAAUCUAUUUCCUUAAAUUUUUUU
rnacentral:lncRNA from 1 species